rnacentral:rRNA from 1 species
ACGGGUGAGUAAUGCCUAGGAAUCUGCCUGGUAGUGGGGGAUAACGUUCGGAAACGGACGCUAAUACCGCAUACGUCCUACGGGAGAAAGCAGGGGACCUUCGGGCCUUGCGCUAUCAGAUGAGCCUAGGUCGGAUUAGCUAGUUGGUGAGGUAAUGGCUCACCAAGGCGACGAUCCGUAACUGGUCUGAGAGGAUGAUCAGUCACACUGGAACUGAGACACGGUCCAGACUCCUACGGGAGGCAGCAGUGGGGAAUAUUGGACAAUGGGCGAAAGCCUGAUCCAGCCAUGCCGCGUGUGUGAAGAAGGUCUUCGGAUUGUAAAGCACUUUAAGUUGGGAGGAAGGGCAGUUACCUAAUACGUAAUUGUUUUGACGUUACCGACAGAAUAAGCACCGGCUAACUCUGUGCCAGCAGCCGCGGUAAUACAGAGGGUGCAAGCGUUAAUCGGAAUUACUGGGCGUAAAGCGCGCGUAGGUGGUUUGUUAAGUUGGAUGUGAAAUCCCCGGGCUCAACCUGGGAACUGCAUUCAAAACUGACUGACUAGAGUAUGGUAGAGGGUGGUGGAAUUUCCUGUGUAGCG